UUAAGGAAGAAAGAGCAUAAGGUGGAUGCCUUGGUGAUUAGAGCCGAAGAAGGACGUGGCAAGCUGCGAAAAGCUAUGGUAAGGAGCAAACAUCCGAAAUAGCCAUAGAUAUCCGAAUGAGGAAACUCAGUUAGUAGAGAUACUAGCUAUCCAUUACUGAAAACAUAGGUAAUAGGAGGGGAACCCGGAGAACUGAAACAUCUAAGUACCCGGAGGAAAAGAAAGAAACAUCGAUUCCCAAAGUAGCGGCGAGCGAAAUGGGAGGAGGCCAAACCAGGAAAGGAAACUUUACUGGGGUAAGGGAAGACGACAAAUGAUUGAGGUAUCGUAGAAGAACUGUUUGGGAAAGCAGGCCAGAGACGGUAAAAGCCCGGUAUUUAAAACGAGAAGACACAUAGUCUUACCCAGAGUAUCGUAGGACACGAGGAACCCUGCGAGAAGAAAGGGGGACCACCCCCAAAGCCUAAAUACUACUAAUCAACCGAUAGAGAAUAGUACCGUGAGGGAAAGGUGAAAAGAACCCCGGGAGGGGAGUGAAAAAGAACCUGAAACCAUAUGCUUACAAGCUGAUGGAGCUCUUAGGAGUGACAUCGUACUUUUUGUAGAACGGGCCAACGAGUUAUGCUGUAAAGCAAGGUUAAGAAAUUAAGUUUCAAAGCCAAAGCGAAAGCGAGUCUAAAAAGGGCGAGAAGUUAUGCAGCAUAGACCCGAAACCAGGCGACCUACCCAUGAGCAGGUUGAAGUUUCAGUAACAUGAAAUGGAGGACCGAACCCACGAACGUUGAAAAGUUCGGGGAUGACUUGUGGGUAGAGGUGAAAUUCCAAUCGAGCUUGGAGAUAGCUGGUUCUCUUCGAAAUAGCUUUAGGGCUAGCGUCUUAGUUAAGUAUGUUGGGGGUAGAGCACUGAAUGUUCUAGGGGCCGUAUAGGUUACCGAAAACUAUCAAACUUCGAAUACUAGCAUAUAUAUAAGGCAGUCAGACUACGAGUGAUAAGAUCCGUGGUCGAAAGGGAAAAAGCCCAGACCAACAGCUAAGGUCCCAAAAUGUAUGUUAAGUGGAAAAGGAUGUGAAAUUGCACAGACAACCAGGAUGUUGGCUUAGAAGCAGCCAUACAUUAAAAGAGUGCGUAAUAGCUCACUGGUCGAGUGGUUUUGCGCCGAAAAUUACCGGGGCUCAAACAUACUACCGAAGCUUUGGACUCACGUAGUGAGUGGUAGAAGAGCAUCGUAUAAUAGGAAGAAGGGGAGUUGAAAAGCGACCUGGACGAAAUACGAGAGAGAAUGUUGGCAUGAGUAGCGAGAGGAAGGUGAGAAUCCUUCCGGCCGAAAACCCAAGGAUUUCUGAGGAAGGUUCGUCCGCUCAGAGUAAGUCGGGACCUAAGGAAAGGCAGAAAUGCGUAUCUGAUGGACAACAGGUAAAGAUUCCUGUACCUACGCUUAUCGACAAAGAGGAGAAGGAAUGACGCAGGAGGAUAGGAUGAGCACGCGAAUGGAAAGGCGUGUCCAAGCAGUAAGUUAGGUAAUAUAGGCAAAUCCGUAUUACUGAAGAUAUGAGCUGUGAAGGGGAGAGAAAAUAGUAUCGAAGCAUCUGAUUUCACACUGACAGGAAAAGUUUCUAUCCAGAUAAGAGUAGCCCGUACCGUAAACCGACACAGGUGGGAGAGGUGAGAAACCUAAGGCCAGCGAGAGAACUGUUGUUAAGGAACUCGGCAAAAUGACCCCGUAACUUAGGGAUAAGGGGUGCCUACGAGAGUAGGCUUCAAGAAAAAGGCCCAAGCGACUGUUUACCAAAAACAUAGGUAUCUGCGAAACCGCAAGGUGAAGUAUAGGUGCUGACGCCUGCCCGGUGCUGGAAGGUUAAGAGGAGAUGUCAGGCAACGAAGCAUUGAAUUUAAGCCCCAGUAAACGGCGGCCGUAACUAUAACGGUCCUAAGGUAGCGAAAUUCCUUGUCGGGUAAGUUCCGACCCGCACGAAAGGCGUAACGAUUUGGGCACUGUCUCAACAACAGACUCGGUGAAAUUGUAAUACCGGUGAAGAUGCCGGAAACCUGCGACAGGACGGAAAGACCCCAUGGAGCUUUACUGUAGCUUAGUAUUGAAUUUAUGUAAUUAAUGUACAGAAUAGGUGGGAGGCUAAGAGACUAGGUCGUCAGAUUUAGAGGAGCCGCCUUUGGGAUACCACCCUUUGAUUAUGUGAGUUCUAACCAGAAUCUUUGAAGCAAGGUAUGGGACAGUGCUUGGCAGACAGUUUGACUGGGGCGGUCGCCUCCUAAAGAGUAACGGAGGCGUCCAAAGGUUCCCUCAGUACGGUCGGAAAUCGUACGAAGAGUGCAAAGGCAAAAGGGAGCUUGAUUGCGAGAGCUACAACUCGAGCAAAGACGAAAGUCGGGCUUAGUGAUCCGGUGGUAGAAAGUGGAAUUGCCAUCGCUCAACGGAUAAAAGCUACCCUGGGGAUAACAGGCUGAUCUCCCCCAAGAGUUCACAUCGACGGGGAGGUUUGGCACCUCGAUGUCGGCUCAUCGCAUCCUGGGGCUGAAGUCGGUCCCAAG
rnacentral:rRNA from 1 species